UGGGAACGUGCCCUUUGGUUCGGAACAACUCCGGGAAACUGGAGCUAAUACCGGAUAAGCCCUUCGGGGGAAAGAUUUAUCGCCAAAGGAUCGGCCCGCGUCUGAUUAGCUAGUUGGUGAGGUAACGGCUCACCAAGGCGACGAUCAGUAGCUGGUCUGAGAGGAUGAUCAGCCACACUGGGACUGAGACACGGCCCAGACUCCUACGGGAGGCAG
rnacentral:rRNA from 1 species